GACAGAGGUCCCGAGCGUUAGGCGGAAUCACUGGGCUUAAAGCGUGUGUAGGCGGAUCGUUAAGUACCUUGUGAAAUCCCACGGCUCAACCGUGGAACUGCUUGGUAUACUGGAUGUCUUGAGCCAUCUAGGGGCUACCGGAACAAAUGGUGGAGCGGUGAAAUGCGUAGAUAUCAUUUGGAACGCCAAUGGUGAAAACAGGUAGCUGGGGAUGUGCUGACGCUGAGACACGAAAGCCAGGGGAGCAAACGGG
rnacentral:rRNA from 1 species